rnacentral:rRNA from 1 species
GACGAACGCUGGCGGCGUGCUUAACACAUGCAAGUCGAACGGAAAGGCCCUGCUUGCAGGGUACUCGAGUGGCGAACGGGUGUGUAACACGUGGGUGAUCUGCCCUGCACUUCGGGAUAAGCCUGGGAAACUGGGUCUAAUACCGGAUAGUAGCCAUUUUUAGUGUGAUGGUUGGAAAGUUUUUUCGGUGUAGGAUGAGCUCGCGGCCUAUCAGCUUGUUGGUGGGGUAAUGGCCUACCAAGGCGGCGACGGGUAGCCGGCCUGAGAGGGUGGACGGCCACAGUGGGACUGAGAUACGGCCCAGACGCCGACGGGAGGCAGAAGGGGGGAAGAUUGCACAAUGGGCGCAAGCCUGAUGCAGCGACGCCGCGGGGGGGAUGACGGCCUUCGGGUUGUAAAAUCCUUUCGCUAGGGACGAAGCUUUUUGUGACGGUACCUAGAGAAGAAGCACCGGCUAACUACGUG